CUACUUACCUGGCAGGGAAGAUACCAUGAUCAGGUGGUUUUCCCAGGGCGCGGCUUAUCCAUUGCACUCCAGAUGUGCUGACCCCUGCAAUUUCCCCAAAUGUGGGAAAACUCAACAGCAUAAUUUGUGUAGUGGGGGACUAUGUUCAUGCUUUCCCCUG